CCCUGGAACCACCUCAGGUGCCCCUGCAGGGGAGAAAUCCAGGCCGGAGUAGAGCAGGGGGGCGGGGCCGGGCUGGGAGUUCGAUGGACGGGGACACUGGGAGAGCAGGGCCAUGAACAGGUUUUGGGGCUCCCUCGUGGGUCACAGCCAAUAGAACGGCUCUGCUGGAAUGACAUCAUUG